UACGGAGGGGGCUAGCGUUGUUCGGAAUUACUGGGCGUAAAGCGCACGUAGGCGGCUUUGUAAGUUAGAGGUGAAAGCCCGGAGCUCAACUCCGGAACUGCCUUUAAGACUGCAUCGCUUGAAUCCGGGAGAGGUGAGUGGAAUUCCGAGUGUAGAGGUGAAAUUCGUAGAUAUUCGGAAGAACACCAGUGGCGAAGGCGGCUCACUGGACCGGUAUUGACGCUGAGGUGCGAAAGCGUGGGGAGCAAACAGG
rnacentral:rRNA from 1 species